UUUCCGUAGGUGAACCUGCGGAAGGAUCAUUAUUGUAUAACCGAGGUGCAAGGGCUGUCGCUGACCCGAAAGGUCGUGCACGCCCGAGUGCCCUCACACACAUCCCUCUCACCCCUAUGUGCACCACCGCGUGGGUCCCCCUUUGGCUUGUUCGGAGGGGGGCUUACGUUUUCACACAAACUUUGUAUGCAGUGUAGAAUGUAUUUUUUGUUUUUGCGAUCACGCAAUCAAUACAACUUUCAACAACGGAUCUCUUGGCUCUC
rnacentral:misc_RNA from 1 species